AUUGAACGCUGGCGGCAGGCUUAACACAUGCAAGUCGAGCGAGGGGCGGACGGGUGAGUAAUGUCUGGGAAACUGCCUGAUGGAUGGGGAUAAAUACUGGAAACGGUAGCUAAUACCGCAUCCCAACAGAUGUGCCCAGAUGGGCUGAGCUAGUGGGUGGGGGAAUGGCUCACCUAGGCGACGAUCCCUAGCUGGUCUGAGAGGAUGACCAGCCACACUGUAACUGAGACACGGUCCAGACUCCUACGGGAGGCAGCAGGGGGGAAUAUUGCACAAUGGGCGCAAGCCUGAUGCAGCCAUGCCGCGUGUGUGAAGAAGGCCUUCGGGUUGUAAAGCACUGUCAGCGAGGAGGCGUUACUCGCAGAAGAAGCACCGGCUAACUCCGUGCCAGCAGCCGCGGUAAUUC
rnacentral:rRNA from 1 species